AGCAUCACCGUUUUAUUAUGCAUAAAAAGAAACAGAAGAAACAAUUGAAGUCCAUUUGCCCUUUUCUGCAAAGAUUAAAACAAAUCCUUAACCCCAAUGUUCCCUCAUUUGGGGUUUCAGCCGCACCUAUGCUAGAAGAUCAGAGGAAGUUUCUCCCUCCAAAGGCCAACUUCGACGACAGAGGAAGAGUUGCCGAUGAUGGAGGAGCGAGUCAACUCAGGUAUGGAGACGUGAGUGAAGCGGCUACAUGGAGCGAACGUGAAGGCGCGAAGUACGGGCGUGGCGUGGAGGUGAAGGUCCCCUGCGGUGCCAACUGCUUUGGUUAGGGUAUCCCCCUUUCUGAAACCAGAGUUUGGGUUGUUGGGCUUGUAAUCGGGCCUUUUAAUUUUAGUGAUUUGGGUCUGUAUCUUGGGCCAUGCAAAAUUUGGGCUCUACAUUGUUCAUGUAGUUAAAUAAUCUUGUACUUCGUUUAUUAGUUAAAUAAUCGGUACAUCUAAACACAA